GACGAACGCUGGCGGCGUGCCUAAUACAUGCAAGUUGAGCGCUGAAGGUUGGUACUUGUACCAACUGGAUGAGCAGCGAACGGGUGAGUAACGCGUGGGGAAUCUGCCUUUGAGCGGGGGACAACAUUUGGAAACGAAUGCUAAUACCGCAUAAAAACUUUAAACACAAGUUUUAAGUUUGAAAGAUGCAAUUGCAUCACUCAAAGAUGAUCCCGCGUUGUAUUAGCUAGUUGGUGAGGUAAAGGCUCACCAAGGCGAUGAUACAUAGCCGACCUGAGAGGGUGAUCGGCCACAUUGGGACUGAGAAACGGCCCAAACUCCUACGGGAGGCAGCAGUAGGGAAUCUUCGGCAAUAGACGAAAGUCUGACCGAGCAACGGCGCGUGAGUGAAGAAGGUUUUCGGAUCGUAAAACUCUGUUGGUAGAGAAGAACGUUGGUGAGAGUGGAAAGCUCAUCAAGUGACGGUAACUACACAGAAAGGGACGGCUAACUACGUG
rnacentral:rRNA from 1 species